rnacentral:miRNA from 1 species
UCACUGCGCUGCUGCGGAUGCCGCAA